rnacentral:RNase_P_RNA from 1 species
CUAGGAAGCUGGAUGAUAGUCCGACAUACCGUCGGACAGGAAAGUCCAGACAGCAUAGAGCAGGGUGUCAGGCGUAAGCCUGAUCGGGUAACCGCAAGUUAGAGCAACAGUGACGAAUCCCGCCGUAAGGCGGGGGUGAAACGCCGAAAGCCGUAAGGCUGUAGGUCCUGAGAGAAAUCGAAGGAGGCAAUCCUCCCCGCUGCAAUCCUAGAAUCAGUUGAGCUGCUCGCUCGACAACUGGAAUCAGGAGCUUAGAUAAAUUUCAUCUAGAACAAAAUCUGGCUUACAGGCUCCCUAGGCAC